rnacentral:misc_RNA from 1 species
AGGAAAUAUAGCACUCUACAUAACUGAAUAAUUAGAUAAUAUUGUUACAACAAUCAUAAAACUCAUAAAUUCAUAAUUUGAUGUUCAAAUAUUUGGUAAUAAACAAACACUGUGGCACUAUCAUCCAGAUUAUUUGUAUAUGAAUAAAACAAAACACAGUAUGAAUUUGCUGAUGCCUCACAAUCAACGGUUCAAGUAAACCCAUCACCUUCAACAAACUAGAGCAAGAACAAACCAAGGAAAAGAGAAUAACCAAGAACAGAACCAAUUAGAUGGAUGAAAGAUAUUUGAGUUGGGAUGGAAGAUGAUUUGGGACGAGUUCUCCCUGGAGCAAAACGACCCCUUCUUUUGAUGUGAAUCCCAAGUUUUCGAGUAUGAAAUGAACUGAGAUCAUUGUCUGCUACUGCUAAUUGUCUGCCCUGGUGCAGGUACUGGCCAAUAGCUUUCUCGAAUUGAUCAAGGAAGCCUUCAUUAGCAGAACUCGGAAGAGAUUGAGACAAGAAGAGCAAGCUAAUGACUAGGAAACAGAAUAGGUUUCUCAUCUUAGCCAUGUUCCCCAAGCGAUAAUUUAGUAAGGUUGGAGGAAAGGAAAGGGCUACACAAAAACUUGAUGAUGACG